rnacentral:rRNA from 1 species
CUUGAACGCUGGCGGCAGGCCUAACACAUGCAAGUCGAACGAGUGGCGGACGGGUGAGUAAUGUGUGGGACAGUGCCUGAUGGAGGGGGAUAACUACUGGAAACGGUAGCUAAUACCGCAUCCCAUCAGAUGACCCCAGAUGGGAUUAGCUUGUUGGUGGGGUAACGGCUCACCCAGGCGACGAUCCCUAGCGGGUCUGAGAGGAUGACCAGCCACACUGGAACUGAGACACGGUCCAGACUCCUACGGGAGGCAGCAGUGGGGAAUAUUGCACAAUGGGCGCAAGCCUGAUGCAGCCAUGCCGCGUGUAUGAAGAAGGCCUUCGGGUUGUAAAGUACGUUCAGCGGGGAGGCGUUACCCGCAGAAGAAGCACCGGCUAACUCCGUGCCAGCAGCCGCGGUAAUUC